rnacentral:lncRNA from 1 species
UCAUUACAAAUGUGUACUACUUUUUUAUUAUAUGACCCAUCUUUCAUAUUCAUAAAAUGCCUAGGAGCACGUGAUAGAGCUGGCUCUUAGCUAAGAGCCCGUUUACCUUCUCUCUUCUUUUUUUUCCUUUAGCUAAAUAAAAAUAUAUUAGUUUAUUUCUUAUAGCGGGCUGACUCAGCUUUAUUAUAAUUGUAGCAGUGGUGGAAAAGUCAGUGUGGCCGGUGAAGGCGGGAAAGCGGAGGGUGAUGGCGAUAAGGCCGAGCCAAGGGCACGGAUGACGGGGCAUGUCACUCAUACUACUACUCGUAGCACAGUAGUAGUAGCGAGCAGGCGAAUUGAUGGGCACAUGCAAUGCACCUGCCUGCCUUGCGUGCUUCACUCUCACUCACUGCCUGCCUGCUCCAGUCCAAGGUAUACUACACACUACAGUGGAAGCGCAGAACAGUAGUACACCGCAGGGGCAAGGUCGUAAUGACGGAGGGCAGCAAUGUAGUAAUUGAUCCCUGCAUUUGAUUUGAUGAUACCGCUCGCUAGUUCGUCAGUAAAUUCAUUUUGUUUGAAUGGGAUGGCUUCGAAUCGAUGACGAUGAUCGCAGUCAUUGCUGCGGAAGGCCAAGGAAUGCGGGGGCCUUUAUGACGAUGACGUAGCAGGCGUUGCUGCGGAGUAGAAGUAGUACAUUAUUAUUGUGGGCUUUCUAUGGCCCUGUUUGGAUACUCUAACCUACGCCCUGUUUGAAUCGCAGUGCUAGAGCUAGUUUGAGCUGAACUAGUUCCUAAAGUAUCCAAACACAUGGGCUAGUUUGUGUUAGAUGCAAAUUAACCCAUAAAAAAAACUAGCCCUGAGAAGAGGUGCUAACUGGAGCUAGUUGAGCAUGGACAGGUAAAAAUAAUAAUAUUUUGACCGCAUC